rnacentral:rRNA from 1 species
CUUUAUUGGAGAGUUUGAUCCUGGCUCAGGACGAACGCUGGCGGCAUGCCUAAUACAUGCAAGUCGAGCGGACUUGAAGAGAAGCUUGCUUCUCUGAUAGUUAGCGGCGGACGGGUGAGUAACACGUAGGCAACCUGCCCUCAAGUUUGGGACAACUACCGGAAACGGUAGCUAAUACCGAAUAGUUGUUUUCUUCUCCUGAAG